CAUUUAUUGAAUAAUCCAACCUUCUUCCACUGAUUUGAAAUGACAACGACUGUUCUCUCAUUAGGGAAGAAGGAAGAAGUAACUUUGGAGCCCUUUGUAACAGGCAAGCCUGGGGAGCCAGAAGGAUGGAGGAGGCAGCAUAUGGACCCUGCCUAGGGCCACAGAUGGGAAGGAAGGAGGAGAUGGAAGAUUGAGUGAGCCAGUGAUAGAGGAGGAAGAGGGCUUCCCGCCACGUGCACGUUUGCCACCUAGUGACCAUAUUGAAUGGCGAUAUUUGGGCUCCUCACCUCAGCCUGGUGGCCUGACCUUGACUCCUGAGUUUCAUGAUUUCUCCACAACUGCAAGUCAUUCUCAUGCAGAAUUGGAGUCGACCUAGUCUGCUGCACCUUUGAGAGUUUUGGAACAAUACGCAAGUUCAAGUCACCAUUAUGUUGUCUUGUGAUGAGACCAACAUUUGAGUUGCUCGCUUCUACCCUUGUUCUUCUGUCUGUUGCUUCCUUUGCAGCUAUCUAUCACACAUGUGCAGUCGUGCAAAAGCUGUUUUGCCCCUUUUAUUUGUCUCGUGAAUGUUGUCAUUUGCUUCUCCUACAUUACAAAUUAGUGUUGUGUACCAGUGAGUGAUGCAAAAUGUUCAAUAAUCGUAAAUUUGCAUAAGUUUGGGUAAGAAUAGCAUCCAAUCAAAAAAGCAAAAAGUAGAUGAUAGAAAUAAAUGCAAGGCUGGUGGAGAGGGCAAGAAAGGUGAUGUGUAUUGCAAACAAAAUGAAAGUUCUUGCAGUGCUUGAUAACGGUGGAACUAAGACCUCUAUAGGGCAUUUUUUGGUGUUAAUGAAUCUAUGGUUCAUACGAUGGAGAGAAAUGAGAAAGUCAUUAGGGCCAGCGAGUUGAGGGGCAUACGGGAAUCAUUGAGAAAAUCAUACAUAACUUGAAAUGCCAAAAUAGAGAAAAUGGAAAGAGAUUUGUUUUUGUGGUUUCUAAAACAGAAAGAGGCUGAAUAGGCCUCUUUCACAAAAAUGCAAGUUUACAUUUUGAUCUAAAUAUAAAGUUUUAACACUUACCACGAGUAAUGGUGGUUGGAUGGGUUUAGGAAAUGCUGUAGUCUGUAGGAAAAGAAGUGGCUGGCAGAAGAAGGAGACCGUGAAGAUGCUGCAGAGUAUCCUGGAUACCUGGAGAAACUCAUGGAGGAAAAUGGCUAUUUGCCUGAACAGGGUUUCCAACGGCGCCAGUGUCAAGGUCUUCCAGCAACUCCAAGUCUUCCAACAACAUCGAGGUCUUCCAGCUAAUCCCAGUCUUCCAGAAAAAUCCAUGCCUUCCAGACAAGCCACGCCUUCCAGGCAAGCCACGUCUUCCAUUAAAUCCAGUGUUCCAGCAAUUACAGGUCUUCCGCAAAAAUCAACGUCUUCCAUAUCUUCCGGGAAAAUCUACGUCUUCCAGGAAAAUCCACGUCUUCCAAUGCUUUCAAGAUCUUCCAGCUAAUCCACAUCUUCCGGAAAAAUCUAGGUCUUCCAACCAAUCCGUGUCUUCCACCAAGUCCAGCCUUCCGGUCCAUCCAUUUCUUCUGGACAAAAUUUAUGUCUUCCACUAAAUCCAGGUCUUCCAAUAAAGCUAUGUCUUCCAGAAAAUUCACGUCUUCCACUUAAUCUCUGUCUUCCACAAAUAUGUCUUCCUUGAGAUCUGCGUCUUCCAGUAACCUCCAAGUCUUCCAGCAAAUCAACAUCUUCCGAACUGGCAAGGUCUUCCGGACAAUUCGGGUCUCUCUGAAAAUCCACGUCUUCCAGCAAACCAUGUCUUCCGGGAAAUCCAUGCUUUCCAAUCACUUCCAGGUCUUCCAGACUAUCCAUGUCUUCAAUCAAAUCCAUGACUUCCAGAAAAUCCGCAACUUCCAGAGAAACCAUGUCUUCCAGUAAAUCCUUCUCUUCCAGCAAAUCUUUGUCUUCCCAAAAGCUGUGUCUUCCAUCAGAUUUAUGUCUUCCAACAAAACCACAUCUUCCACAAAAUCCUCGUCUUCCAGAACAUCCACCUCUUCCAACAAAGGCACGUCUUCCAGAAAAUCUACAUCUUCCAACUAAGCCAUGCCUUUCAGAAAACUCAUGUCUUCCUACACCUCCGAGUCUUCCAGCAUCUCCAGGGCUUCCAGCAUCUGCUCGUCUUCCAGCAUCUCCACAUCUUCCGACAACUACCCGGUCUUCCAACAGUGGGCUAAAUAUCCACGCCUUCCAUCUCCAGUGUACCGAUCUUCUAACAUUCAGGUCUUCCAGUGUCUACAACAUCCAGGAUCCACCUGCUUCAAAUCUCACAGACCUCUUGGAUUCCUCCCACUGCCUUGUGUCUGACUAAUGGUGACUACAACUCCUUAACUCCAAGCAUGCUGACCUAGAGUACUAACUACUUGGUUCUCCGAGCCUCAGCUACUAUCAGGUGCUUCCAACAACAUUGCUACCCACACCUCUGGUUGGCAUGACAAGCAUUAAAGCCAUACAAUGAAAUUUUCAUUAGGUAAUAUAAUGAAAUUAUCUACAUAGUACUACUACUACUACUACUACUACUACUACUACUACUACUACUACUACUAAUAUCUUACAAAUGUUUAAUGAUUUAGUUUACAAAGUGUUGUCACUUCAUUCAUUCAUCCAUUAAUUCAACAAAUAUUUAUUGAGCGCCAAAUGUGUGCCAGGCAUAUUUUAAUGGAACUUAAAAAUUAUCUGGGGGAAAGAGAGAUAAUGUUCAAAUAAUUAGAACAAUUAUUUAUAAAUUUUGCAAGGCCAAGAAGGAACAGUGAGUAUAGGAUGCUGUGGGAGUCUAGAAAGUUAAUGGAAGCAUUCCUGAGGAGGUAACACUUAUGGGAACUGAAGAAUCUAUAUUCUUAUUUGAUUAUCACAACAACUCUGUCAUUUAGAUAAGAUAGAUGUUUUUAUAACAGUUUUUACCUAAUCAGAGGUUAAGCAGCAAGUACUAAAGAUGGGCAUGGGAUCCGCACACAGGGUCCGGCACAAAUAACGCCUGGUUUUUAUCACAAAAUCAUAAGCCUGUGAUUCUGUAACAUAACAAUAUCACCCUCAAGCACAUCAAUGACAUUUUACGUGAGAUGUUCCAAUUAAAACUAUAAAUUGUUACACCCCUAUUAUGACCCUACCAACCACACUCAAGCAGGCGUUACUUCUGCCAGACUCUGUAUUUUGACUUUCUUUUCUCAAGUAUUUCAUGCUGCUUUAGAAUAUAUUGUAGGUACAAUAUUGGCAAUAUAUAUCAAGGGAUAUAAAAAGUUUUGUGCUCUUUGACUUAGUAUUUUCACUUCAAUGAAUCUACUCAAGAGAAUUAUCUAAAAUGUGGACAAUUCAUGUACAAAGACAUGCCUCACACAGUUAUCUCGAAGACUUAAAAACAGAAAAACUAAGGUCUAACUUUGAAGGCAUAAUUAAGUAAGUGUGCUAUUUCCAUGUAUGGAAUAUUAUUCCAUUAAAAUGUUUAUGGUCAGUUUAUAUUAUAUAAUGUUAAGUGAGAAAUCAGGGGACAGAUUAUAUAAAGUGAAAUUGCAGUUAUUUUAAAUAUAUAAUCAGAGACAAGUGACUCGAAAUAAGUCCAUUGUAGAUUGUGAACUAAUAAUGUCUGGGUAGAUAGAAUAAUGUGUGAUUUUUCAUUUACUUCUUUGUUAUUUUCUCUUCCAUAGUUCUUACAGUGUGAAAGUCUCUUAUAUUCAGGAAAAAUUUUGACUGAUUGUGCACAAAAUCAUUAUUUAUUUAUCUUUAGUUUACACAUGUAAUCAAGUUUUACUGUUGAAAACAUUUCAAAAUAUAAGCAAAGUGAAAAAGCUAAAAUCUCAAAUAACCUCAAUAUUCACAGAUAAUACUGUAAAAUUUUAGUGUAUGCCCUUCCGUAGUUUCACAGGUAUGUUUGUUUUAUUUUACAAGAUGAUGUUAUGCUGCCAUUUAACCUAGUUUUUCCACUUAGUAAAUUAUAAACAUCUUUCUAUAUCAGUAACUGUGCAUCUGUAGUGUAAUUUUAGUACAUAACUUAUUUACUUCAUUAAGUUCUUUCCAUUGUUUUGUAAUAUAAAAACUGCUGUGCUGAGCACCUAGGUUGUGCAAGUUGUGCAGAAUGCUAACUGCCUCAUCAGUGGAGGCCCUGUGUGUGCAGGGCUGUGUGUGCAGAGCUGUUCAGAUAUUACUUACAAUAAAUUCUGCCCAGGCCAGUUGCUAAUCCAAAGGAAAUUUACAUCCUAAAGCUUAUCACAGCAUAAAAAUUCUAAGCAAUUGAGAUGCUCAACAAUUGAGGUGGAUAAAUAAAAUGAUAUUGUAAAUAUAUGAUGGAAUACUAUGCAGCCAUUUCAGUGUAUACCACAGAGGCUUAUUUACUAGAAUAAAUGGGGAUAUGUUUACAAGGUCUCAUUAGUGAGAGGAAUAGGUCACAUGGAUGCAUAUAUAAUAUUAAAAUUUUGUGGGGGGAAACGAUAUAAAUGUACUCGGGAUAUACACUAUUUUAGAAUAUACACUAAAGUGUUUGUAGUAAGUGCCCCAAAAGGAAAAUCGAUAAAUUGGGGUAUAUGUGCACAAUGGAAUACUACACAGCAGUGAAAUGAAUACACUACAGCUAAACAGUAUUAAUGUGGAUGGAUGUUGGUUCUCUGAUGUUAAAAAAUGUCAAAUCCCAGAAAAGUACAUAUAACUGGAUAUCCUGUUUAUUAAAAAAAAGUAAACUCAAACACUAUAUUAUUUAGGCACAUAUAUUGGGGAUUAAAAUAUGUUAUUAAAAAGCAAAAGAAUAUCAACCAAAAAUUCAGGGUAAUGGUCAUUGGGUUUGAGGAAAGGAGGUUGGAAUAGGAGAGUGAACUGAAGUUUUUGUCAGUAUUCUAGUGCUCUUGAUGGGUGAGUGGGUGCGUGUUCAUUAAUUAAUUAAAAGCAUAUUAUUGCUGUUAAUAAUUGUAUGACUUAAUGAAAACUAAAUAACAUGUUAAUGGAUACAAAUAAAUGAGGGUUAUGCGUGGAUAAAUGAGACAGUAUGCAUGAUCUAUGACAGCAUGCAUGGAUUAUUCUUAACCCAAUUUUGUGCACUUGAAUUUCAUAUUUUUCUUAAGCAAUUAUCUCUGGAUGUUCAGAAUACAUGUACUUUUUAUUCUUUUGUGGCUCUCUAUUUUCUAAAUUUUGUAUAUGGAAUACAUAUAAUAUUAUACUAAUUGAAAAACAAGCCCCAAAUUACAUAGAAUAAUAUCUUAGAUAUGCCAAAAAUGCGUAACAGGGACUGAAAAAGUAUUGACAUGUUAAUAGUAAUCGCCUCUGUGCAAUGAGAUUUCAUAUAGCAUUUUUAUGUUUCCUUAUAGUUUUGAAAAUCCAAAUGUUAUAGAGUGAGAUUAUGUUGUCAUUUUUCUGUAACAAGUGUAUCACAUGUUUAUUAUACAAGUAAACUGGGUGGUAGUAUAUAAAGGAACAAAUGAAAAUAUCUCUCUCCCAGGCCUACUGCCCAGAGACAGGCAUGAUGAUAUGUCUGCUUUGUUUCUUCCAGACUACUUUCUGUAUGUGUAAAUGUGUUCUUGUGUGUUUUACUAAAUGAAAUCAUCCUACACAUGAAGCAGGUCCUCUAGUAACAUUGUUUUGUUCAAUGUUCUUUUGUUAAAGUUUGUGAGAAAAAAAAUGGAUCCCUGGGCAGGGCCACUGUCUAUGUGAUUUGCACGUUCUCUCCAUGUCUGCGUGGGUUUUCUCCAGGGACUCCGGUGUCCUCCCACACCCCAAAAUGUUCAUUUGAGGUGGAGUGGCACGUGUGCAGUAUCCCCGUCUAAGUGAGUGUAGAUGUGUGAGAGAGGACCUGCGAAGGAAAGGCGUCCUGUCCAGGGUGGAUCCCGCCUUUUGUCCUGAGCUGCCAGGAGAUGCUCCAGCCACCUGUGACCCGGAACUAGAAUAAGCAGGUGAAUCAUAGAGUCAACUUGUCAACUUUGGUAUAAAGAAAAAAAUUCCCUGGAAGUGCCUCGGACCUUUUGAGUAACCUGUCAAGAAGUGGCAUCUUUGCAACACAGAAUUUUGCAAUUAUCUUUUCCCCAGGCAUCAUAUUAAACUCUGUUCUUAUCUCUGUGCUUCCCCCCAUGAAUCAUCUUUAAUUCCUAGCUACAUAAUCACGUCAGUUGUAAAUGAGAAAAAGCUUGUCUUUUCAUUGCAAAUGGUUGUUUCUGAUUUGGUUUUCUUUUUGGCACAUUGGUAAAGAUCUUAUGACUUCCAGGACAGUGCAGAUUUAUACUGAGAAUAAAAAUAGGCCUCCUUCUCUUGUUUUUGACUUUAAUAACAAUACCUCCUUGUUUCACUCUCAAAUAUGAUUCCUAUUGAAUCUGACAGAUACCCUAUUUCAACUUAUGGAAACACCCUGCUAUUCCUGAUUCCUAAGUGACAGAUUUGUCAGAAAAAGAUGUAGAAUGUUCUCGAAUGCCCUCUCUGGGAUCUGCUAGGGUGAUAAUAUGAUUAUUCUUUUUAAUCCAUUAGUGUAGUUAAUUACACUGAUAGGUUUCCUAAUGCUGAACUAUUCUUGCAUCCUUGGAAUAAAAGUGACUUGGUAGCAGUGUUUUGUUUAUGCAAAUAUUUCAUGCCACACCUAAAACUCUAUUAACAUGUUCCUAGAGCAGUGCCUUGUACCUUUUUCACAUCAUGGCACGCUGUGGGAAAUUAAAUGGACAGGAUUGCUCAGGGCAGAAGCAGCUGGCUUCCCAAGCUCUUCCUGUCUGCCCGCAAGGCCUUAGAAGAUAUCAUGUUACAGACAAAACCUAUCCUCAGGACACCAAUGUGCACAUUUGUUGGGAAAUUCUCAUUUAUUAUUUCCCUUUGUGUAAUUUCCUCUUGCUGACUUAAUAUCAGGAUGGUAUUACUCUGUGAAUCAACUUAAUUUUUUUUCUAGUUUACAGUCUGAGUAAAUUAGACACAAACUGUUCCCUUAAACAUUUGGUAACACUCACCCAUAAAAACAUUUUGUUCUCAUGUUUGUUUGGGAAGUGGGGGAGUAACAAUAUAGUAAAUCCUCUUCUCAAUUUCUUUGAUGAUUAGACUCAUUUCCUGGAGUCAGUUUUGUCAGUUUGUUUGUAAAAAUUUUCCAU